rnacentral:rRNA from 1 species
AGAGUUUGAUCAUGGCUCAGAACGAACGCUGGCGGCAGGCCUAACAUAUGCAAGUCGAGCGCUACCUUCGGGUGGAGCGGCGGACGGGUUAGUAACGCGUGGGAAUAUACCCAGUUCUAAGGAAUAGCCACUGGAAACGGUGAGUAAUACCUUAUACGCCCUUCGGGGGAAAGAUUUAUCGGAAUUGGAUUAGCCCGCGUUAGAUUAGAUAGUUGGUGGGGUAAUGGCCUACCAAGUCUACGAUCUAUAGCUGGUUUGAGAGGAUGAUCAGCAACACUGAGACUGAGACACGGCCCAGACUCCUACGGGAGGCAGCAGUGGGGAAUCUUAGACAAUGGGCGAAAGCCUGAUCUAGCCAUGCCGCGUGAGUGAUGAAGGCCCUAGGGUCGUAAAGCUCUUUCAACUGUGAAGAUAAUGACGGUAGCAGUAGAAGAAACCCCGGGCUAACUCCGUGCCAGCAGCCGCGGUAAUACGGAGGGGGUUAGCGUUGUUCGGAAUUACUGGGCGUAAAGCGUACGUAGGCGGAUUAAUAAGUUAGAGGUGAAAUCCCAGGGGCUCAACCCUGGAACUGCCUUUAAAACUGUUAGUCUUGAGAUCGAGAGAGGUGAGUGGAAUUCCAAGUGUAGAGGUGAAAUUCGUAGAUAUUUGGAGGAACACCAGUGGCGAAGGCGGCUCACUGGCUCGAUACUGACGCUGAGGUACGAAAGUGUGGGGAGCAAACAGGAUUAGAUACCCUGGUAGUCCACACCGUAAACGAUGAAUGCCAGACGUCAGCAAGCAUGCUUGUUGGUGUCACACCUAACGGAUUAAGCAUUCCGCCUGGGGAGUACGGUCGCAAGAUUAAAACUCAAAGGAAUUGACGGGGGCCCGCACAAGCGGUGGAGCAUGUGGUUUAAUUCGACGCAACGCGCAGAACCUUACCAACCCUUGACAUACUUGUCGCGGAUUCCAGAGAUGGAUUCCUUCAGUUCGGCUGGACAAUGUACAGGUGCUGCAUGGCUGUCGUCAGCUCGUGUCGUGAGAUGUUCGGUUAAGUCCGGCAACGAGCGCAACCCACGUCCUUAGUUACCAGCAUUUAGUUGGGUACCCUAAGGAGACUGCCGGUGAUAAGCCGGAGGAAGGUGUGGACGACGUCAAGUCAUCAUGGCCCUUACGGGUUGGGCUACACACGUGCUACAAUGGCAUCUACAGUGAGUUAAUCUCCAAAAGAUGUCUCAGUUCGGAUUGGGGUCUGCAACUCGACCCCAUGAAGUUGGAAUCGCUAGUAAUCGCGGAACAGCAUGCCGCGGUGAAUACGUUCCCGGGCCUUGUACACACCGCCCGUCACACCAUGGGAAUUGGGUCUACCCGAAGGUGGUGCGCCAACUAUUUAUAGAGGCAGCCAACCACGGUAGGUUCAGUGACUGGGGUGAAGUCGUAAC